rnacentral:rRNA from 1 species
GAUGAACGCUGGCGGCGUGCCUAAUACAUGCAAGUCGAGCGAACGGACGAGAAUCUUGCUUCUCUGAUGUUAGCGGCGGACGGGUGAGUAACACGUGGAUAACCUACCUAUAAGACUGGGAUAACUUCGGGAAACCGUAGCUAAUACCGGAUAAUAUUUUGAACCGCAUGGUUCAAAAGUGAAAGACGGUCUUGCUGCCACUUAUAGAUGGAUCCGCGCUGCAUUAGCUAGUUGGUAAGGUAACGGCUUACCAAGGCAACGAUGCAUAGCCGACCUGAGAGGGUGAUCGGCCACACUGGAACUGAGACACGGUCCAGACUCCUACGGGAGGCAGCAGUAGGGAAUCUUCCGCAAUGGGCGAAAGCCUGACGGAGCAACGCCGCGUGAGUGAUGAAGGUCUUCGGAUCGUAAAACUCUGUUAUUAGGGAAGAACAUAUGUGUAAGUAACUGUGCACAUCUUGACGGUACCUAAUCAGAAAGCCACGGCUAACUACGUG